rnacentral:rRNA from 1 species
GAUGAACGCUGGCGGCGUGCCUAAUACAUGCAAGUCGAGCGAAGCGGGGACGGGUGAGUAACACGUGGAUAACCUCCUAUAAGACUGGGAUAACUUCGGGAAACCGGAGAUACACCGGAUACUUCUAGAUGGAGCCGAGCUGCAUUAGCUAGUUGGUAAGGUAACGGCUAACCAAGGCAACGAUGCAUAGCCGACCGGAGAGGGUUGUCGGCCACACUGGACCGGAGACACGGUCCAGAGUCCAACGGGAGGCAGCAGUAGGGAAUCUUCCGCAAUGGGCGAAAGCCUGACGGAGCAACGCCGCGUUAGGGAUGAAGGUCUUCGGAUCGUAAGACUCUGUUAUUAGGGAAGCGGUACCUAAUCAGAAAGCCACGGCUAACUACGUGCCAGCAGCCGCGGUAAUUC